rnacentral:rRNA from 1 species
UACAGAGGAGCCAAGCGUUGUCCGGAUUUACUGGGCGUAAAGAGCGCGCAGGCGGUCGUACAAGUCGCGUGUGAAAGCCCCUGGCUCAACUGGGGAGGGUCACGCGAUACUGUUCGACUCGAAGGCAGGAGAGGGAAGUGGAAUUCCCGGUGUAGUGGUGAAAUGCGUAGAUAUCGGGAGGAACACCAGUGGCGAAGGCGACUUCCUGGCCUGUUCUUGACGCUGAGGCGCGAAAGCUAGGGUAGCAAACGGG